rnacentral:ncRNA from 1 species
CAACACGGACGGGUGAAAAGGGAAGCCGGUGGAAAUCCGGCACGAUGCUGUCACUGUGUAUGGGAGCUGUUUUCGAUUGCUCACUGGGAAACCGGGAAGAGGAAAAUGGCGAUGAUCAAAGUCAGGAGACCUGCCUGAAUGU